AUUGAACGCUGGCGGCAUGCCUUACACAUGCAAGUCGAACGGUAACGCGGGGCAACCUGGCGACGAGUGGCGAACGGGUGAGUAAUGCAUCGGAACGUGCCCAGUAGUGGGGGAUAGCCCGGCGAAAGCCGGAUUAAUACCGCAUACGACCUAAGGGUGAAAGGGGGGGAUCGCAAGACCUCUCGCUAUUGGAGCGGCCGAUGUCAGAUUAGGUAGUUGGUGGGGUAAAGGCCUACCAAGCCGACGAUCUGUAGCUGGUCUGAGAGGACGAGCAGCCACACUGGGACUGAGACACGGCCCAGACUCCUACGGGAGGCAGCAGUGGGGAAUUUUGGACAAUGGACGCAAGCCUGAUCCAGCCAUGCCGCGUGCGGGAAGAAGGCCUUCGGGUUGUAAACCGCUUUUGUCAGGGAAGAAAUCUUCUGGGCUAAUACCUCGGGAGGAUGACGGUACCUGAAGAAUAAGCACCGGCUAACUACGUGCCAGCCGCCGCAGUAA
rnacentral:rRNA from 1 species